rnacentral:lncRNA from 1 species
AGGAAUGGAGCCAUUUGGUAGCUGUGCUGUGUUCUCAUUCCUGAGAAUACAGUAUUCAAAUAUGCUUCUUCGUUGUAGUUUUUUUUGGGGGGAGGUUGCUUCUGUUGGGGGUCAAGAAUCUCCUUAGCUACAUCUCAAAUGUCAUGGGAUGGAAAUCACCGGUGGCUUUUCUCCAUGAUGCUUCCUUUACUGAAAAUGGCAGCCAGGCUACAAUCUCCAACAAGAAAGCAGAAGAGGACCAUCUGGAGAAGAGGAAACAUGAAGUCACUUGAGAUACCACUUGUAUAAAUAAUAUUUAUUUCUCUGAAAUGGGAAAGACAUCCUAGAAAGAAGCUGAGUGAAAAUAUUCAUCUAACAAGACCCUUGGAACUACAAGUGCAUAAUUUUUGGAAAGGAGGCUUUUUGUCCUGUGGCUCCAAGCUUAGGAGGUUAGUGUUAAAAAUGGAAGCGUUCCAGAUGCAGAGUUUAACAUUUUUGCUAUACCAUCUAAGUCAGUUCAUCAGAGAUCACCUCCCCAUAAACAGAUCUUGAUGAUUACAGAAUC